GGAUGUGAGGGCGAUUUGGCUGCGACAUGUCACCCCAUUGAUUGCCAGGGUUGAUCUGGCUGGCUAGGCGAGUGUCCCCUUCCUUCCUCACCAUGUGUGUCCCUCUGGAAGCUGCAUGACCUGUCUUUGGUUGAGGGUAUAGGAGUAGCUGCGCUCCCAUGCUAGAAUCUCCAAACAAAGUGCAAGGACCGGUAUAAGGAUCCAGGUUCAUACCCCUGGCUCCCCACCUGUAGGGAAGUCACUUUGCAGGCGGUG
rnacentral:snRNA from 1 species